AUGGGACCAAACACAACAGUUGGGUUAAUGCAGAACAAUGUAUGCUGUGCUGUCUCUCUUCUCCUCAGGGAACCUCUAGGUGCGUCUAGUGAUCCUGCCGGGUCUGAGAGCUUACCAGCACUGCUACACCACUGUAUUACUAAAGCCAAGGGAGUGGCUGCCAACAACAAUAACAACACAACCUCCGGAAGGAGAACAGGUGUGUGUCCCUCUCAGACCCAGCAGCAAUCUCAGACACCCCAAGAGGGAGAGGAUCUCCACAGAAAGAGGAAAAGGCAAAACAAGAAAAACCCCUAUCUCUAUUUGACCUCCUUCCUGCACCGCAGGCAGUCUGAGGAGGACCAGACAGGCAUACUGGCCAGUGCAGACUCCGAGGGCCCAAAUUAUGGGACUCUACGCUGACCCGUGUGCCCACCAAGCCAUCGGACUCGACUAGACUGACCUCCCCUGAAAAAAAUAAAUAAAACCACCUCAGCCCUCUCUGCUCCACCCCACUCUCUAGCUAAUACAUUUCUUAUAAUCUCUAAAAGUUCAUCUGUGUUCAAGGAGCGGGAAACAUCCAGCUGAAUACUCCAGGGGUCGGACAUCUUACCUGUAUGUGAAGACAAGAACAAUGGCUUUUCUGAGUUGUCGCCACUACUUGUCUCUGAGGACUUUCACUUGAAAAUGCUCUGAAAAUAUAUAAUGUAUAUAAAUAGUAAAAACAAGGGAAUUAAGCUUCUUCCUACAGUAAUAAAAAUGUGUUGGUUGAGUAUGUGACAACACGUUAAAGAUUUUUCACUCACUGGUCAUUGAGGGGUCCAUAUCUUUAGGUUUUUCAGUGAUACAGUGUACUGUGAAGCCUGGUGCGUCCUCGGACAUGGACAUGAGUCUACCUUUCCUACAAUACAAAUAGUGUCAGUAUUUAAACACAGGGUUCUUACCACAAAAUAUACCUCAGAGUAAACGCAAAGUUGCUGUAAUUCUUGUGGUAUACUGUACGUACUUGACCUUUUUCUUACAUAUGAAACGUAUGGAUAAAAAGGUUUAUAUCACGCUCCGCACUCAUUCAAACGGAUAAUAUGGCCUAACUUGAUCUAAUUUAGAAGCUUUUUAAUAUCAGUAAUAGCUGGCAUCUCGUGUUUAUUUUUCAUUUAUGAUCCAAUGCCAACCAUUAGAGGACUGUCUUAAUGUAGUGCUUGAUGACUCAGUGUGUUCACACUUUUCAUUAUGGCACCGUAUUAAGAUGAAGAUCAUAGCCUUCAUGAGAACUCUCAAAAUAAUUUGGGACAACAGAGGUUGGAGUUGUAGGGUCAGAAGAACAGGGUGAUGAAUUGUGAAGUGUACUGUAGUAUGUAUUUCAUUCUUUAGGAAUCAUUUGUGAAACGCGGCACGUCUCGAGGUGCCUUUUAUUUGCCUUUUCUCUCUUGUUUAUUCUAACAUAAACUGCCUUUUCCUUCGCCUUCCCAUAUUUGUCUCUUCGGGGGCGGAGUGAGGGACUCUAAUACUAUGUGUGUUUUUACUUUCUCUGCCAAGGACACAUGAGAGAAAAUGCAACAGAGGAUGCAUAGCUCUUGUUUUAUUUUACAUUUAUAUUUUAAAUGGGUACCUGCUUCAACUGUGUAUAUCCAAGUAAUAGGACAGCACCAGAAUACCCAUGCAAAGAAAAAUAAAAAAAAAUACAGAAGUUUAGAUUCAAAAAAGGCAAAUGAAUCCCAAAAAUAUACCUUCAUUGGAAAAGUACAGAAGCUGUACUGUGCAUGAGUUUUCAUGCGGAAAGAACAAACCAGUAGAGUAGGGAUGUUAAUGUUUAAUAACAGCCUUUAGAGGAGAAUGUGAUUGCGUCAUAAAGCUGUUAACAAGCAAUGGGAAAUAUUCAAAUGAUGGCCACCCUGACUGUUUAUCAUUAACAACUGUAUAUUACUUGCUAGCUACUUCUCUGUGGGUUUGAUCUUUUUUUUUGACACUAACCGAUAAUGAAUGUACGUUUUGCUGUACAGGAAAUGAAUGUCCCGAUGUCACAGUACAUUGAAUGACCCAUGACGUUGUUUAAUAGUGCAGCUGCGAUUGGUGAGAUGACCAGUUGGCACAUUAAGUCCAAACUGUUUAACUUCUCUGUGUGGUUCCUGUAUGCGAUAAUACUGUAACGAACGGGCCCCACACAGGUUCUGAGCCAAGUUCCCUUUCUUCUGAUGGCCGCAAAAACAAAACCAGAUUUCCUUUUAGUGCUAAUGCUCGUUCAAUCGCUCAAAGACAUAUCAGAUAUAUUUCCGUCUGCUACAAACAAAUCACAGGUUUUCCGGCCAAUUUCCACUUGAAUGAAUCGACUCAAUGUCUGCUUAUUGAAAUCUCUUUUGACAAGUGAGAGAGUGACGAUUGCCUGAAAGUGAGCGUCAAAGUGCGUAUUCUACUUUAACAAAUUGGUUUUAAUGUAAGAUACGAGUAAAAAAAAUCUAUAUUUGUUAUGUACUGUACAUGGUAUGUAUUGUAUUUGUAAAGAUGAAUCAAACCAUGUUUUACAGGAAGACGUUCUUGUAUGAGGGUGUAUAAAAAGACGGGAAGGAUCCCAAGGAAGAAGAAAUUAGAUUAUAUAUCAAAGUAUUUGCUUACAGUACGGCUUUAAGUGGAUAAUGUUUCUAAAACAUUUUAAGGUGCCUCAUUUGUCAUGCUUUAGCAGACAUUAUUUUAUCUGAGAAGAAAAGAAACCUUAAUGUUAGUACCGUACGAUGUAUUAUCGCCAUAGCCCGCUGGCUGCACAAGUUAAGUAGUAUUUUCUCUGAUGUAUAGUACGUGAAUGCCCAUUGGAAAAAGCUUUAGAAGCAGAAGUGUGUUGCCCUCUAUAAUAAUAUUCCUGGAACAAAAUAAUACUGUAUUUUGCCCGUUCAUGAGCACACAUGUAGAUUCACUUCAGAUCUUUUCGCCUUCAGGUGUCCAAAGCAAAUAAACUGAAGGAAACGUUUUUUCUAAGAGUCACAGACAUGCUAUAGUCAUAUACAUUACGUGUGUGCUGUGGAGAAAAUUGUGUUUACAUUAGUUUGAUAAAGAAACGUGUGUUAGGGCAUAGUUGCUUUGAACAUUACGACUUGGUGCUAUGUUUAACAUUGUGGUGCUGUAGAAUAGAGGUCUAAAGAUUUUUUUUUCUCUUCUGUUUCCACAAGCAACUCUUUGGGCCCUGUGUGUUUGAGCAACUAAACUAGCUCCAGUAGACAAUAUAGGUCCUUAUCAUAACAGUAUCAUGGUGUGAUGACAGUAAUAGACAAUACUGGGGGGAAAAAAAAUAGUAGUAUAACCUCAAAUAAUAGAGACUUGUGACAUUCAAAUGAACUCAAGAUAAUCUGUUUUCUAUAGUGUGUUUGCAAUGUCUGUCUGUGCUUCCAAGGUACCCUCUCUAAAGUAUAUUUGUGAUGAUAUUGAGAAUUGUAACCCAGCCUAAAAAGGAGAAACAUAACCUGAUUUAGAUUAGGACACAACCACAGGACACGUGGGAGGGAAUCUGAGAGCAUGGUCAGGUCAUGAGGGCAUAUUUUCUACACACUUCCUGUAGGUCUACCAUCUUUGGUUAACAGCACUGUUUUUCAAGCACACUACUGCAGGGGCAUCACAGCCGUCUCACAACAUUUUGCCAUCUUUUCAACGUUCGAAUUCCUACUAGUACUGUACAGUAUGGCCACGAGUAGUCAUCAGACCACAUUUGUAUUUAUUGCUGAUUCUUCUGGUAGAAAGGUAUUGGGAAAGCUCAUACAUCCUCUCUGUGCGUUUAAGCGAAUGGAUGUCGUCUUCCGGGCUAUUUUCUGCAUAUUCAACAGACACAUGUACAGCGUUUAAGAGGGCUGCUUUGGACGUAACUGUUAGCUCAAUUUUAUUUUUUAUUUUGUUCAAUUUUUUCUGCUUACAGCUUUUAGUGCAUCACUAGGUGCUGGUAGGAUGAUACUUAGAACCGAUUUGAUUUUUUAUGGUAUUAAUCUUGCAUGUAGAGACAACACAAAAAAACGCCUAUUUAGCAAUCAUUCAUGGACAUCCGAGCUGGUUGUUAUUGGACAGAAAAAUAGAAAUAUGUAGUAUUUUCUAUAUUCUCUGUUUUUUCAUGUGUACCAGCACUGAGAAACUAGAAUGUAUUAUUAUCGUAGGCUACAAUAAGCACUACAUCGUUGACUGUUUUAGCUAAUGCUCAUACUCAAGCAAACCAAGUAGUGCUUAAAAUGGAAGAAAAUUUACUACAUUUCAUUUUCAUCCACUGAACUCUGUGCUGUACAUCACAUGUUUACAUUCUGUAUUAUAUGUUGUUUAUUGUUUUGUACAUAAUUUGUCUCCAUAACAUUGUAUUCAACAAUGUUCAUAUGUAAAUACUUCAAAACAAAACUUUUUUUUUACUUUUCUCUGUUUUAAAAUGAUAACCUGAUGUUUCUCUUUGCUAUAUAUAGACUUGUCAUUCUGUUCUGUCACUACAUCAGGUAUUACGCUUUACUUAACUUUUAUGUGAGCAAUUAACUCAUACUGUAUGGUGCUGUACCAAAGCCUUAUGUAUAAUAUUUGUAUUACUUUCUCUCUUGUUUGCCACUGCUGUCCAGUGAGUUCUGUAUCGUCUGAGAUCAUGUCUUACUCACUCUUCAUGUUCAACUGCCAUGGAUCUCGUUUCUUUAUUGAGUGAACAGAAACCCGAAGGAACUAUGAUGUAAAAACACUCUGGCCUGUAACCAACAUGGCCUGGAUAUACAGUAUAGAGACAGACGCCAUCGAAAGCCUUGGUAGGGAAAAGCGCACAGGCUCACUCCUGGUGGCUCAUCAUGACGUAGACAUGGGCCUAGCACAUGAUCUAUGCUCUGUAUAUGGCAUGUCUAUGAGAAUAUGAAAGCAGUGUUGUAUUCAUGUCACCAUAUCAUUUCAAAUGCUUAGUCCCAUACAAAAUUUUCCUCUCAAAUUUUUGUAUUUUGAUAUAAUAAAAAAUCCAAAAGAGGA
ensembl:lncRNA